rnacentral:rRNA from 1 species
UGGGUGACCUGCCUCUAGGUGGGGGAUAACCCGGGGAAACUCGGGCUAAUACUGCAUAACAUCGUGAGAUCAAAGAGGGGCGCAAGCCUCUCGCCGAGAGAGGGGUCCGCGUCUGAUUAGCUAGUUGGUGAGGUAACGGAUCACCAAGGCGACGAUCAGUAGCCGGCCUGAGAGGGCAUCGGCCACACUGGAACUGAGACACGGUCCAGACUCCGUACGGGAGCAG